UCCCUGGUGGCUCAGACGGUAAAGCAUCUGCCUGCAAUGCGGGAGGCCCGGGUUCGAUUCCUGGGUUGGGAA
rnacentral:tRNA from 1 species